rfam:Triticum aestivum genome assembly, contig: Triticum_aestivum_CS42_TGACv1_scaffold_643531_T_1BL-0.089842_3DS-0.077810
CAUAUACUCUCUCCGUCCCGAAUUACUUGUCGCGAAAAUGGAUAGAAAUUGAUGUAUCUAGAACAAAAGAUACGCCUAGAUAUAUUCAUUUCCGCGACAAGUAAUUUGGGACAGAGGGGGUAGUAU